UACGGGGGGGGCAAGCGUUGUUCGGAAUCACUGGGCUUAAAGCGUGUGUAGGCGGAGUUCUAAGUACCUUGUGAAAUCCCACGGCUCAACCGUGGAACUGCUUGGUAUACUGGUUCUCUUGAGCCACCUAGGGGCAACCGGAACAAACGGUGGAGCGGUGAAAUGCGUAGAUAUCGUUUGGAACGCCAAUGGUGAAAACAGGUUGCUGGGGGUGUGCUGACGCUGAGACACGAAAGCCAGGGGAGCGAACGGGG
rnacentral:rRNA from 1 species